UAUGGGUUGUUGACGUUAAAAGGUUUAAGUGAAAGUAGUGAGUCAAAGUAAUGUCUGAAUUAUUUUGUUUACUUAAUUUUCGUACAUAAAAAUUAAUUAUUUACAUUUAUAAUAAAAUAAAAAAUUAAGGAAUCAAUAAUUAUUACUUAUUAAAAAAAAAAAAUUCAUUUCUUGCCUCGUUUCUCUUUUUAACAUAUUUCUAUCUUGUCUUUGCUCUCAGCUGCCUCCGGUCGUUCCGUACCCUUUGAUAAUAUUCAUCUCUAUCGAUGAUCGAGAUGGAAACAAUGGUUCAACUUUAAUUAUUUUAAUAAUUCAAAAGUGACGCUAUAUUGUUUUAAUGUAAUUUUACAAAUAUUAGCGUUAAUAAUAUGUUGUUUUUUAUUGGAUUCACUAAAGCCUCCUUAGAUAGUAAACGUCAAUUAACGUAAUUAAAUUACGAUGUAUAUCUAAAAAAAUUUAAUUGGACAACUAAAUAAGGUUAGAAUACAAAGAAGAAUACAACGAUGAAAGGUACAAGCAUAAUAAUCAUGAGGAAAUGAUAAUACUACGGAAGGAAUAAUGGAAUUUUGUCAUCGCUUACAUACUGAAGAUGUGAAUUUUAUAAUACUAGGGACAUGAUUGAUUAUUUUACAAUACUUACAAAAACAGCAAUGAAUAAAAGAUAAAUUGGCAUAUUUGGAAACACGACAAUUACCAUAAUUAUUUAUGGUCUGAAAAUAUAAACUAAAAAGUGAAAAAGUGAUUGCAAAAUUGUAUAGGAAUGAGGGGCCGGUACUGCUGACAAAAAAAAUAUUUGAAAAAUGUAUUAACAAUUUGAUCGCUAAAAUUUGAUGGCCAAACAAAAAAAUUACCUAAUUUCGAAGAAUUUGUAUUGUAAAAAAGCAUAAGUGAAAUUGUAUACGGAUGAAAGGGCCGGUACUGCUGAUAAAAAAAUAUUUGAGAAAUUUAUUUACAAAUUAAUCGCUAUAAUCUGAUGGCCAAAAAAGAAAUUAAUUUAUUUUUAAGAAUUUGUAUUGUGAAAAAGUGUUUGUGAAAUCGUAUAGGGAUGACGGGCCGGUACUGCUGAUGAAAAAAUAUUUGAAACAUUUUUUUACAAACUAAUCGCUAUAAUUUGAUGGCCAAAAAAAUUAAUUUAUUUUUAAGAAUUUGUAUUGUAAAAAAGUGAUUGCGAAAUUGUAUGGGGAUGAGGGGCCGGUACUGCUGAUAAAAAAAUAUUUGAGAAAUUCAUUUAUAAAUUAAUACACAAUAUCGCUCACUUUUUUACAAUUCAAAUUCUUGAAAAUUAACUAAUUUUUUUUGUUGACCAUCAAAUUAUAGCAAUUAAUUUGUAAAUAAAUUUUUCAAAAAUUUUUUUAUCAGCAGUAUCGGCCCCUCAUCCCCAUAAAAUUUUGCAAUCACUUUUUUUGUAGAAUUUGUAUUAUGGAAAAGCAUAAGCGAAAUUGUAUAGGGAUGAGGAGCCGGUAUUGUUGAUAAAAAAAUAUUUGAGAAAUUUAUUUACAAAUCGAUUGCUAUAAUUUGAAGGCCAAGAAAAAAAAUUAAUCAAUUUUUAACAAUUUGCAUUGUGAAACAGUGCGAGCGAAAUUGUAUAAAGAUGAGGGGCCGGAACUGCUGAUGAAAGAAUAUUUAAAAAAUUUAUUUUCAAAUUAAUUGCUAUAAUUUGAAGGCAAAAAAAAAAUUAAUUUAUUUUUGAGAAUUUGUAUUGUGAGAAACUGUUUGCAAAAUCGUAUAGGGAUGAGGGGCCGGUACUGCUGAAAAAAAAAUAUUUGAGAAAUUUUUUUACAUAUUAAUCGCUAUAAUCUAAUGGCAAAAAAAAAAUUAAUUUAUUUUAAAGAAUUAGUAUUGUGAAAAAGUGUUUGUGAAAUCGUAUAGGGAUGACGGGCCGGUACUGCGGAUAAAAAAAAUAUUUGAGAAAUUUUUUUACAUAUUAAUCGCUAUAAUCUGAUGGCAAAAAAAAAAAUUAAUUUAUUUGAAAAAAUUUGUCUUGUGAAAAAGUGAUUGCGAAAUUGUAUAGGGAUGAGGGACCGGUACUGCUGAUGAAAAAAUAUUUGAGUAAUUUGUUUAUAAAUUAAUACAUAAUGUAGCUCUCGCUUUUUCACAAUACAAAUUCUUCAAAAUUAACUAAUUUUUCUUUUUGGCCAUCAGGUUAUAGCAAUUAAUUUGUAAAUAAAUUUUUUUAAUAUUUUUUCAUCAGCAGUACCGGCCCCUUAUCCGUAUACAAUUUCGCAAUCACUUAUUCACAAUACAAAUUCUUAAAAAUAAAUUAAUUUUUUUUUGACCAUCAAAUUAUAGCAAUUGAUUUGUAAAUAAAUUUCUCAAAUAUUUUUUUAUCAAAAAUACUGGCUCCUCAUCCCUAUACUAUUUCGCAAAUACUUUUUUUGUAGAAUUUGUAUUGUAAAAAAGCAUAAGCGAAAUUGUAUAGGAAUGAGGAGCCGGUACUGCUGAUAAAAAAAUAUUUGAAAAAUUUAUUUACAAAUUGAUGCUCUUAAAGUGAUGGCCAAAAAAAAAAUUAAUUUAUUUUUGAUAAUCUGUAUUGUGAAAAAGUGAGAGCGACAUUGUAAAGGGAUGAGGGGUUAGUACUGCUGAUAAAAAAAUAUUUGAAAAAUUUUUUUACAAAUUAAUCGCUAUAAUUUGAUGGCCAACAAAAAAAUUAAUUAAUUUCUAAGAAUUUGUAUUGUGAAAUAACCUAAGUGAAAUUGUUGAGGGAUAAGAGGCUGGUACUGCUGAUAAAAAAAUAUUUGAAAAAUUUUUUUACAAAUUAAUUGCUAUAGUUUGAUGGCUAAAAAAAAAAAAUUUAUUUAUUUUUAAGAAUCUGUAUUGUGAAAAAGUGAGAGCGACAUUGUGUAGGGAUUAAGGGCCGGUUCUGCUGAUAAAAAAAUAUUUGAGAAAUUUAUUAACAAAUUAAUGUUUUUAAAUUGAUGGCCAAAAAAAAAAUUUAUUUAUUUUUAAGAAUCUGUAUUGUGAAAAAGUGAGAGCGACAUUGUAUAGGGAUGAGGGGUCAGUACUGCUGAUAAAAAAAUAUUUGAAAAAUUUUUUUACAUAUUAAUCGCUAUAAUUUGAUGGCCAAAAAAAAAAUUAAUUUAUUUUAAAGAAUUUGUAUUGUGAAAACCCCGUAUAGGGAUGACGGGCCGGUACUGCUGAGGAAAAAAUAUUUGAGUAAUUCAUUUAUAAAUUAAUACCCAAUGUAGCUCUCACUUUUUCACAAUACAAAUUCGUCAAAAUUAACUAAUUUUUUUUUUCGGCCAUCAAAUUAUAGCAAUUUAUUUGUAAAAAACUUUUUCAAAUAUUUUUUUAUCAGCAGUAGCGGCCCCUCAUCCCUAUACAACUUCGCUUACACUUUUUCGCAAUACAUAUUGUUAAAAAUUAAUUAAUAUUUUUUUUGGCCAUCAAAUUAUAGCAAUUGAUUUGUAAAUAAAUUUCUUAAAUAUUUUUUUAUCAAAAAUACUGGCUCCUCAUCCCUAUACUAUUUCGCAAAUACCUUUUUUUGUAGAAUUUGUAUUGUAAAAAAGCAUAAGCGAAAUUGUAUAGGAAUGAGGAGCCGGUACUGCUGAUAAAAAAAUAUUUGAAAAAUUUAUUUACAAAUUGAUGCUCUUAAAGUGAUGGCCAAAAAAAAAAAUUAAUUUAUUUUUGAUAAUCUGUAUUGUGAAAAAGUGAGAGCGACAUUGUAAAGGGAUGAGGGGUUAGUACUGCUGAUAAAAAAAUAUUUGAAAAAUUUUUUUACAAAUUAAUCGCUAUAAUUUGAUGGCCAACAAAAAAAUUAAUUAAUUUCUAAGAAUUUGUAUUGUGAAAUAACCUAAGUGAAAUUGUUGAGGGAUAAGAGGCUGGUACUGCUGAUAAAAAAAUAUUUGAAAAAUUUUUUUACAAAUUAAUCGCUAUAAUUUGAUGGCCAACAAAAAAAUUAAUUAAUUUCUAAGAAUUUGUAUUGUGAAAUAACCUAAGUGAAAUUGUUGAGGGAUAAGAGGCUGGUACUGCUGAUAAAAAAAUAUUUGAAAAAUUUUUUUACAAAUUAAUUGCUAUAGUUUGAUGGCUAAAAAAAAAAAAUUUAUUUAUUUUUAAGAAUCUGUAUUGUGAAAAAGUGAGAGCGACAUUGUGUAGGGAUUAAGGGCCGGUUCUGCUGAUAAAAAAAUAUUUGAGAAAUUUAUUAACAAAUUAAUGUUUUUAAAUUGAUGGCCAAAAAAAAAAUUUAUUUAUUUUUAAGAAUCUGUAUUGUGAAAAAGUGAGAGCGACAUUGUAUAGGGAUGAGGGGUCAGUACUGCUGAUAAAAAAAUAUUUGAAAAAUUUUUUUACAUAUUAAUCGCUAUAAUUUGAUGGCCAAAAAAAAAAUUAAUUUAUUUUGAAGAAUUUGUAUUGUGAAAACCCCGUAUAGGGAUGACGGGCCGGUACUGCUGAGGAAAAAAUAUUUGAGUAAUUCAUUUAUAAAUUAAUACCCAAUGUAGCUCUCACUUUUUCACAAUACAAAUUCGUCAAAAUUAACUAAUUUUUUUUUUCGGCCAUCAAAUUAUAGCAAUUUAUUUGUAAAAAACUUUUUCAAAUAUUUUUUUAUCAGCAGUAGCGGCCCCUCAUCCCUAUACAACUUCGCUUACACUUUUUCGCAAUACAUAUUGUUAAAAAUUAAUUAAUAUUUUUUUUGGCCAUCAAAUUAUAGCAAUUGAUUUGUAAAUAAAUUUCUUAAAUAUUUUUUUAUCAAAAAUACUGGCUCCUCAUCCCUAUACUAUUUCGCAAAUACCUUUUUUUGUAGAAUUUGUAUUGUAAAAAAGCAUAAGCGAAAUUGUAUAGGAAUGAGGAGCCGGUACUGCUGAUAAAAAAAUAUUUGAAAAAUUUAUUUACAAAUUGAUGCUCUUAAAGUGAUGGCCAAAAAAAAAAAUUAAUUUAUUUUUGAUAAUCUGUAUUGUGAAAAAGUGAGAGCGACAUUGUAAAGGGAUGAGGGGUUUGUACUGCUGAUAAAAAAAUAUUUGAAAAAUUUUUUUACAAAUUAAUCGCUAUAAUUUGAUGGCCAACAAAAAAAUUAAUUAAUUUCUAAGAAUUUGUAUUGUGAAAUAACCUAAGUGAAAUUGUUGAGGGAUAAGAGGCUGGUACUGCUGAUAAAAAAAUAUUUGAAAAAUUUUUUUACAAAUUAAUCGCUAUAAUUUGAUGGCCAACAAAAAAAUUAAUUAAUUUCUAAGAAUUUGUAUUGUGAAAUAACCUAAGUGAAAUUGUUGAGGGAUAAGAGGCUGGUACUGCUGAUAAAAAAAUAUUUGAAAAAUUUUUUUACAAAUUAAUUGCUAUAGUUUGAUGGCUAAAAAAAAAAAAUUUAUUUAUUUUUAAGAAUCUGUAUUGUGAAAAAGUGAGAGCGACAUUGUGUAGGGAUUAAGGGCCGGUUCUGCUGAUAAAAAAAUAUUUGAGAAAUUUAUUAACAAAUUAAUGUUUUUAAAUUGAUGGCCAAAAAAAAAAUUUAUUUAUUUUUAAGAAUCUGUAUUGUGAAAAAGUGAGAGCGACAUUGUAUAGGGAUGAGGGGUCAGUACUGCUGAUAAAAAAAUAUUUGAAAAAUUUUUUUACAUAUUAAUCGCUAUAAUUUGAUGGCCAAAAAAAAAAUUAAUUUAUUUUAAAGAAUUUGUAUUGUGAAAACCCCGUAUAGGGAUGACGGGCCGGUACUGCUGAGGAAAAAAUAUUUGAGUAAUUCAUUUAUAAAUUAAUACCCAAUGUAGCUCUCACUUUUUCACAAUACAAAUUCGUCAAAAUUAACUAAUUUUUUUUUUCGGCCAUCAAAUUAUAGCAAUUUAUUUGUAAAAAACUUUUUCAAAUAUUUUUUUAUCAGCAGUAGCGGCCCCUCAUCCCUAUACAACUUCGCUUACACUUUUUCGCAAUACAUAUUGUUAAAAAUUAAUUAAUAUUUUUUUUGGCCAUCAAAUUAUAGCAAUUGAUUUGUAAAUAAAUUUCUUAAAUAUUUUUUUAUCAAAAAUACUGGCUCCUCAUCCCUAUACUAUUUCGCAAAUACCUUUUUUUGUAGAAUUUGUAUUGUAAAAAAGCAUAAGCGAAAUUGUAUAGGAAUGAGGAGCCGGUACUGCUGAUAAAAAAAUAUUUGAAAAAUUUAUUUACAAAUUGAUGCUCUUAAAGUGAUGGCCAAAAAAAAAAAUUAAUUUAUUUUUGAUAAUCUGUAUUGUGAAAAAGUGAGAGCGACAUUGUAAAGGGAUGAGGGGUUUGUACUGCUGAUAAAAAAAUAUUUGAAAAAUUUUUUUACAAAUUAAUCGCUAUAAUUUGAUGGCCAACAAAAAAAUUAAUUAAUUUCUAAGAAUUUGUAUUGUGAAAUAACCUAAGUGAAAUUGUUGAGGGAUAAGAGGCUGGUACUGCUGAUAAAAAAAUAUUUGAAAAAUUUUUUUACAAAUUAAUCGCUAUAAUUUGAUGGCCAACAAAAAAAUUAAUUAAUUUCUAAGAAUUUGUAUUGUGAAAUAACCUAAGUGAAAUUGUUGAGGGAUAAGAGGCUGGUACUGCUGAUAAAAAAAUAUUUGAAAAAUUUUUUUACAAAUUAAUUGCUAUAGUUUGAUGGCUAAAAAAAAAAAAUUUAUUUAUUUUUAAGAAUCUGUAUUGUGAAAAAGUGAGAGCGACAUUGUGUAGGGAUUAAGGGCCGGUUCUGCUGAUAAAAAAAUAUUUGAGAAAUUUAUUAACAAAUUAAUGUUUUUAAAUUGAUGGCCAAAAAAAAAAUUUAUUUAUUUUUAAGAAUCUGUAUUGUGAAAAAGUGAGAGCGACAUUGUAUAGGGAUGAGGGGUCAGUACUGCUGAUAAAAAAAUAUUUGAAAAAUUUUUUUACAUAUUAAUCGCUAUAAUUUGAUGGCCAAAAAAAAAAUUAAUUUAUUUUAAAGAAUUUGUAUUGUGAAAACCCCGUAUAGGGAUGACGGGCCGGUACUGCUGAGGAAAAAAUAUUUGAGUAAUUCAUUUAUAAAUUAAUACCCAAUGUAGCUCUCACUUUUUCACAAUACAAAUUCGUCAAAAUUAACUAAUUUUUUUUUUCGGCCAUCAAAUUAUAGCAAUUUAUUUGUAAAAAACUUUUUCAAAUAUUUUUUUAUCAGCAGUAGCGGCCCCUCAUCCCUAUACAACUUCGCUUACACUUUUUCGCAAUACAUAUUGUUAAAAAUUAAUUAAUAUUUUUUUUGGCCAUCAAAUUAUAGCAAUUGAUUUGUAAAUAAAUUUCUUAAAUAUUUUUUUAUCAAAAAUACUGGCUCCUCAUCCCUAUACUAUUUCGCAAAUACCUUUUUUUGUAGAAUUUGUAUUGUAAAAAAGCAUAAGCGAAAUUGUAUAGGAAUGAGGAGCCGGUACUGCUGAUAAAAAAAUAUUUGAAAAAUUUAUUUACAAAUUGAUGCUCUUAAAGUGAUGGCCAAAAAAAAAAAUUAAUUUAUUUUUGAUAAUCUGUAUUGUGAAAAAGUGAGAGCGACAUUGUAAAGGGAUGAGGGGUUAGUACUGCUGAUAAAAAAAUAUUUGAAAAAUUUUUUUACAAAUUAAUCGCUAUAAUUUGAUGGCCAACAAAAAAAUUAAUUAAUUUCUAAGAAUUUGUAUUGUGAAAUAACCUAAGUGAAAUUGUUGAGGGAUAAGAGGCUGGUACUGCUGAUAAAAAAAUAUUUGAAAAAUUUUUUUACAAAUUAAUCGCUAUAAUUUGAUGGCCAACAAAAAAAUUAAUUAAUUUCUAAGAAUUUGUAUUGUGAAAUAACCUAAGUGAAAUUGUUGAGGGAUAAGAGGCUGGUACUGCUGAUAAAAAAAUAUUUGAGAAAUUUUUUUACAAAUUAAUUGCUAUAGUUUGAUCGCUAAAAAAAAAAAAUUUAUUUAUUUUUAAGAAUCUGUAUUGUGAAAAAGUGAGAGCGACAUUGUGUAGGGAUUAAGGGCCGGUUCUGCUGAUAAAAAAAUAUUUGAGAAAUUUAUUAACAAAUUAAUGUUUUUAAAUUGAUGGCCAAAAAAAAAAUUUAUUUAUUUUUAAGAAUCUGUAUUGUGAAAAAGUGAGAGCGACAUUGUAUAGGGAUGAGGGGUCAGUACUGCUGAUAAAAAAAUAUUUGAAAAAUUUUUUUACAUAUUAAUCGCUAUAAUUUGAUGGCCAAAAAAAAAAUUAAUUUAUUUUAAAGAAUUUGUAUUGUGAAAACCCCGUAUAGGGAUGACGGGCCGGUACUGCUGAGGAAAAAAUAUUUGAGUAAUUCAUUUAUAAAUUAAUACCCAAUGUAGCUCUCACUUUUUCACAAUACAAAUUCGUCAAAAUUAACUAAUUUUUUUUUUCGGCCAUCAAAUUAUAGCAAUUUAUUUGUAAAAAACUUUUUCAAAUAUUUUUUUAUCAGCAGUAGCGGCCCCUCAUCCCUAUACAACUUCGGUUACACUUUUUCGCAAUACAAAUUGUUAAAAAUUAAUUAAUAUUUUUUUUGGCCAUCAAAUUAUAGCAAUUGAUUUGUAAAUAAAUUUCUUAAAUAUUUUUUUAUCAAAAAUACUGGCUCCUCAUCCCUAUACUAUUUCGCAAAUACCUUUUUUUGUAGAAUUUGUAUUGUGAAAAAGCAUAAGCGAAAUUGUAUAGGGAUGAGGAGCCGGUAUUGUUGAUAAAAAAAUAUUUGAGAAAUUUAUUUACAAAUUAAUUUCUAUAAUUUUAUGGCCAAAAACAAAAUUAAUUUAUUUGAAAAAAUUUGUAUUGUGAAAAAGUGAGAGCGACAUUGUAUAGGGAUGAGGGGUCAGUACUACUGAUAAAAAAAUAUUUGAAAAAUGUUUUUACAAAUAAAUCGCUAUAAUUUGAUGGCCAAAAAAAAAUUAAUUAAUUUCGAAGAAUUUGUAUUGUGAAAUAACCUAAGUGAAAUUGUAUAGGGAUAAGCGGCCGGUACUGCUGAUAACAAAAUAUUUGAGAAAUUUAUUUACAAAUUAAUGGUGUUAAAUUGAUGGCCAAAAAAAAAAUUAAUUUAUUUUUAAUAAUCUGUAUUGUGAAAAAGUGAGAGCGGCAUUGUAAAGGGAUAAGGGGUCAAGACUGCUGAUAAAAUCAUAUUUGAUAAUGUUUUACAAAUCAAUUGCUAUAAUUUGAUGGCCAAAAAAAAAAAUUUAUUUAUUUCUAAGAAUCUGUAUUAUAAAAAAGUGAGAGCCACAUUGUGUAGGGAUUAAGGGCCGGUUCUGCUGAUAAAAAAAUAUUUGAGAAAUUUAUUAACAAAUUAAUGUUUUUAAAUUUAUGGCCGAAAAAAAAAAAUUAUUUAUUUUUAAUAAUCUGUACUGUGAAAAAGUGAGAGCGACAUUGUAUAGGGAUGAAGGGCUGGUUCUGCUGAUAAAAAAAUAUUUGAGAAAUUUAUUAACAAAUUAAUUGCUAUAAUUUAGUGGCUAAAAAAAAAAAUUAAUUAAUUUGGAAGAAUUUGUAUUGUGAAAAAGUGUGAGUGAAUAUUGUACAACGAUAUUGGCUCGUUUCUGGUGAUGAAUUAUCUCUAAAAAAUACAUGAUGGGAAAAUAUUGGUAAAAAUCGUUCGAAUAGAGCAAUAUUACAAUUUGGUUAAAUUGAAAUCGUUAAUAUUCAUCUAUAAAUCGUUUUUUAUUAUUAAUAAUUUUUAGUUUUUUGACAUGCUUAUUUGCUUGUAGCUAGAAAUCAUCUAACUGCUGCUUAGUUUUAUUCUUUUACUUACUAAAUUUUUUACCGAGCACUUUUUGAGAUACUAAAAAUGCGUUUUGAUAAGAAUUACAGCGAUUUGUUCGAAUCGUGAUUAUUAUUAAUUUUGUAAGUUUUGAUGAUUUCUAUUCGAACUUACGAAUGCGUCUUACGCCAGGAGCAUUGGCUUUUUAAUGAUUAAAAAUUAUUUAAAUGUUGCUUAGUUUUACUAUCUUACUUACAAAAUUUUUUACUGUACACCUUUUAGGAAACUAAAAGGUCGUUUCGAUAAGAAUCACAACCCCGCUUAAAAAAUUCGUUAGAUUCUUAUAGUUGUAUACAUAAGGCCUUAUACUUAACUAUGGCACUUCUCAUAGAACUUAAUUAUUCCUAAGAAAUCUCUAUGAUAAUAUAUGAGAAUCUAUUGAAUUCCAUGAGUUUUUCUAUACAGGGCACGAUUCGUCUGAAAUGUGGUUGUAAAUAAUUUUGUAAGUCAGGGAUGAUUUCCAUUCGAACAUAAGAAUGCGUCUUAUGCUAGGAGCAUUGACGUUUUAAUAAUUAGAAACUAUUUAACGGUUGCUUAGAUUUAUUAUUUUAUUUAUAAAAUUGUUAAUUGAACACCUUUUAGGAAACUAAAAGUGCAUUUUCAUAAGAAUCUUCAAGAUUCGUCUGAAAUGCCGUUCUUAACAUUUUUCUAACUUCAAAGCACUAAUAAUUUGAUGGCUUUGCAGAAUUUCAUUUUUUGCUAUUUUUUAGGCAAUUACUAUAGAAUCUAGGUGAAAACGACAUGUUUGAAAAGAGCCUGGUUUUUAAUGAAUUUCUGCUUGUAGUUAUAUGUCUACAUAAUGUACAAUAUUGGCCAUAAAUUCACGACGGGUGGCGUUCAAAUCGGUAAAAUAAACUAAAGAUAAAUAAACAUUUAGAAAAAUUAAAUUUAAAUAGAUAAAAAAGUAGAUAAUAUAAAAAUUUUAUAAAAAAAACAAACAGUAAAAAAAUACUUAGGUAAUAAUUUAAAUGGAUAAAAAAAUAUAUCGGUAAUAAAAAUAACAGAAAAAUGAAAACUACUCUAAAAAAAAAAAAUUAGCCAAUUAAAACUGAGGAUAAAAAAAUAGCGCGCAUUUUUAAAAUCGGCUAACAAAAAAUUGGUAUAAUUAUAAAUAUUGAUAU